GAACUAUGUAGCUGGAAUGGACUUGGCCCUGGGGACAUGACACUGACUUGAUGAUAUCUAGUGGGAAGUCCUGAAGGUUCUUCUGCCAGAUGGCAUACACCACAUCCCAACUGCCCUGCUUUCUCUGCCACUCCUCAAGGCUCAGGCUCUGAAGUGAGGCUGUCAGCUCCCAGACAAAGUCAGACUGUGGCUGAGAUUACUGGAAGUGGCUGUGAUGCUCAUCAGCAGAUGAUAGAGACGGGCUUCCUGGAACUGCCACUAACCUCCUGUAGACCAGGCUCCAUGUCCCAGCAGGUCCCAGCCCAGGCCCAACCUACAGCCAUAACCAUGGAAGGCAGGUGGCCUUAGGUGCUGACAGCUGCUUUGGUCUCCAUGGAAGCAGAAGCCCCGCUGGAAGUACCUGCAGACCUGGGGCACCUUUCUGUCAUAAGCAUGGCAACUUGACCCCCAGUGAUCAUCCCUGAAUGGCAGCUGGGAACGGGGCUUGCUCUCCCUACCAUGACUGUAGUCAUCCUACCCUGCAGCAUCCAUCCCAGCUGCAGGUCCCUGUGAGCCUCCAUUCGUUUUCAAACACCCAUUGAUCAGUUUGCAUUUUAUGUGAUUUUAUAUAUAUAGAAACAUACAGCAUGUUCUCUGUUUUGGUUUGGCUUUGCUGUAUGGUUUGGAUGUGGCUUGUCCCCAAGAGUUCAUAUAUUGAAGGCUUGGGUCCUUAGUGUGGCAGUGGUGAAACAGUGGGACUUUGUAGAGGUAGGGCCUUGUGGAGUGUCUUUAGGUUAUUGGGGCUUUGCCACAAGAGGGAUUAAAGUAGUUUUCCUGAGACCUGAGUUAGUUCUAACUAGAGCAAAUCACUCUAAGAGAGACCAACCUGGAAUCUCUCUCUGGCUUCCUAUGUCUCUCCAUGUGAUCUUGCCCUCUCAUAUUGCACUCUCAGCAUUGUGAUGCCCUCUGCCACAAGUUCCUCACCAGAACCAAGCCAAUGCAGG